rnacentral:rRNA from 1 species
UACAGAGGGUGCUAGCGUUGUUCGGAAUCAUUGGGCGUAAAGGGCGUGUAGGCGGUUUGUUAAGUCAUGUGUGAAAUCCCUCGGCUCAACCGAGGAAAGACGCAUGAAACUGGCAAGCUAGAGUACCGAAGAGGGGGGUGGAAUUCUCGGUGUAGCGGUGAAAUGCGUAGAUAUCGAGAGGAACACCUGCGGCGAAGGCGGGUUGCUGGGCUGACACUGACGCUGAGGCGCGAAAGCUAGGGGAGCGAACGGG